ACGGGUCGAGCCUCGGCGGGGCAGGAGAUGACGGUGCAGAAAGGCCCGGGCAGGGUGGGGGUGCUUUCCAUCUAUCUUGUCAUCGACCCCUCUUCUCUGCCUGUCACAGACGAAGUUCACAGAAGGGUACCAACUCACCCAGGAUCACAGAACGCAUGCAUUGCAGAGCUGAGUGCGACUCAGAAGCCCCCGCUUCCCAGAGAUUGCAGCGGCGCCGCGCCAGCCCUGGAUCCGGGCCUAAGCAAGGGAGCUAGACACCGGAUCCCCAAGCACCUCCACCCUCCUGGGGUUCCUCUAUUAAAGACCUAGUAUCUGGACGCUUCUACAGUGCAAAAUCACCCCCCACCCACAACUCCUGUGCUGCCUGGUCGAUAGAGAAAAGAGACGCGAAACAGAAAAAAAAAAUGGAGUUUAUGUGCAGGGUUCGUCGGGGUAGUGGAGAGAGGCCGUUGAAUAGUAGGGGCUUCGCUCACUCCCGCCAGGGGGCGCCAGGAAGCCAAGAAGGAUGUGCAGCCGCGGACUGGUUCCAAGCCCCUUCAGAGGCGCGGGGUCUCAGGGGGAGGGACUGGCUUCAGAGCCCAAGUAGGAGGCGGUCCGGCUCUCAGGAGUGCUGUAAAUGGUUAAAGCCCCAGGCAGGCCCAGGGCUGGGCCUCCCAAGGCUGCCUGGACAUCCAGCAGGAGUGGGGCCCCGAGCGUGGGGUCCUUCCCUAGGAGAAGCGGGGCUGUGCUCACCAGGGGAAAGGUUCCCCCUCCUUUCUUCAGGGAAGGAGAGCCCUCCCUGCCUGCCUUCUGCUCAGUUAGGAUGAAGCAUCCAUUCUUAAACUCCCCACUCUCGCCCAAUGGUGAGGGCACGGGUGGCUCAAUGAACGCGCUCUGCAGGGCAGCCUGAACUCAGGAUUUCCCUGCAAAUUGCAGAUUGCCCCCUCACUCAAUCAAGGUAGCUCAGCCCAAUCACGGCGUCCUCCCAGG